ACGCUGGCGGCAGGCUUAACACAUGCAAGUCGAACGGUAACAGGGAUUAGCUUGCUAAUUUGCUGACGAGUGGCGGACGGGUGAGUAAUGCUUGGGAAUCUGGCUUAUGGAGGGGGAUAACUACGGGAAACUGUAGCUAAUACCGCGUAAUAUCGGAAGAUUAAAGGGUGGGACUUUCGAGCCACCUGCCAUAAGAUGAGCCCAGGUGGGAUUAGGUAGUUGGUUAGGUAAAGGCUGACCAAGCCGACGAUCUCUAGCUGGUCUGAGAGGAUGACCAGCCACACUGGAACUGAGACGCGGUCCAGACUCCUACGGGAGGCAGCAGUGGGGAAUAUUGCACAAUGGGGGGAACCCUGAUGCAGCCAUGCCGCGUGAAUGAAGAAGGCCUUCGGGUUGUAAAGUUCUUUCGGUGACGAGGAAGGUUGAUAGGUUAAUAGCCUAUCAAAUUGACGUUAAUCACAGAAGAAGCACCGGCUAACUCCGUGCCAGCAGCCGCGGUAAUACGGGGGGUGCGAGCGUUAAUCGGAAUAACUGGGCGUAAAGGGCACGCAGGCGGUGACUUAAGUGAGAUGUGAAAGCCCCGAGCUUAACUUGGGAAUUGCAUUUCAUACUGGGUCGCUAGAGUACUUUAGGGAGGGGUAGAAUUCCACGUGUAGCGGUGAAAUGCGUAGAGAUGUGGAGGAAUACCGAAGGCGAAGGCAGCCCCUUGGGAAUGUACUGACGCUCAUGUGCGAAAGCGUGGGGAGCAAACAGGAUUAGAUACCCUGGUAGUCCACGCUGUAAACGAUGUCGAUUUGGGGAUUGGGCUUUGAGCUUGGUGCCCGUAGCUAACGUGAUAAAUCGACCGCCUGGGGAGUACGGCCGCAAGGUUAAAACUCAAAUGAAUUGACGGGGGCCCGCACAAGCGGUGG
rnacentral:rRNA from 1 species